rnacentral:rRNA from 2 species
GUUGACCUCGGAUCGGGUAGGGAUACCCGCUGAACU